rnacentral:tRNA from 1 species
GCCCGAGUGGUGGAAUGGCAGACACAGGGGCCUCAAAAGCCUCGGUCGCAAGACGUGUGAGUUCGAGUCUCACCUUGGGCA